CCGUGUUCUGUGACUGACUGGGCUGGCGGGUGUCCGCCGGUCUGCCACAGAACACGGGA
rfam:Acyrthosiphon pisum strain LSR1 Contig7187, whole genome shotgun sequence.